rnacentral:lncRNA from 1 species
AGUCUGUUUUUCCCCAAUGAAAACCAACAACAAUGUAUUCUAACAUCACUGUGAUUUUAUAUUUAUGAAUUAUAACAUGAAGGAAUGAAUUUUUAGCCUUCCUGUUACACGUUUCCCUUUUUUCCAACCCAGAAUUAUAGAGAAGUUGUAAGGCAAUUAAAAGCGUUGCAUGGAGCAUUUAGGUAUACCAGUGGAGUUUUAAAACAGUUUAAAGGCAUUUUUUGAAUAGUAAUAUACUGUAAUAUACCUUUUAAACUUUGCAUGUUCUUUACAAUCUUUCAUGGAAAAUUCCAAGUUAACACGAUAAGGUAAAAACCUUCUUUCUUUGGGGAUUAUUUUUGGGAAAAAAAAACUUAGUUUGAUUUUAUGGAAAAAAUAUCUAAAUAGUAGUAUUGCUGUUUAAAUUUUGUUACAUUUCUUUUUGUGGGUGUUUUGAAGUAAAUGAACAGGCUUAUGUAAACAUUAUGAUUUGACUUCUUCUGAAUGUUAGAAAGAAGUAGUGUAUAACUAGUGACGUACGUGGCCUUUACGUAAAGAAAUUUUGCCAUUUUUCAAUCCAGAUAUAGCUUUUGUAUCAACAAGCGGAACACAGAUCUUCAGUCUUAGCCUUGGAGAGGAAAAUCCUUUAAUACUUAAAUGAAUUCUUUGUAUUUUGGGUUUGUUUACCAGAGUAUUGAUAUAUCUAAUGCUACCAAAAUACUCAUUUUACUAUGGACCCAAGUUAGUUAAAUAAGUAAUGGUUAUCUUUAGAAAUCAUAGAGGACAGGAUUGUUAUUAGAGACCUGCUGAUACAGAUGUCUACAAAUGAGAAUGGAAGUAAAUAUUGAGCAAACUAUUCUGCCUUCCUGUGAAAUAGCAGUUAUGUUGCUAUUGUAUGUAUAGGCAUAUACCGAGUAAACCAAAGUCUAAGAAUAAAUGACAUUUAGAACUUUGAAUACUAUUACAUCUAGAUAGCAACUAAAAGAUAAAAAAUAUAUAUUAAUGGAGAUUCUUCUGUUGCAUUGAGACAUCGUCCUUUAAUCAAAGCUGUGAUUUUAAUUUUUCAAUUGGUUUUUGCUUAAAUGUAUUAAUCUCUUCCCAACUUUCUGUAUAAUUCUUUGGCCUUUCAGUACUUGAUCUUGGGCUAUGCUAGUCUUCCAUAUGUUUACUGAGACACUUUCAGUUACCUUCCAGGCACACCAGGAACCUUUCUAUAGACUCAUUUUUUACUAUUUAUUUUUUAAUUUUUAUUUUUUCCAUUAUAAUUGGUUUACAGUGUUCUGUCAUAGAUUCUUGAAAUCUUCUCCUAAUUUCUUUGUCAGUCAAUUAUCUUGAACCGGCCACAUAAGAAAGGGCCACUGUCAGUUGAAUAGCUCAUUCUUAGGAUGAGCUGCUAACAGGAGUCUCUUUGAAUGUUCCUUUUUGUGUAUUUACACCCAAACUCUUAAUUGAUGAUGUCAGCAUGACCCUAAAGAUAAAAAGAUAGAAAGAAAGAAAGAAAAGGACAGGUGGAAAGUACAAAAAAUAGCUCCAUGAAAUACUUAGACAUUCUCUUUUUUUUUUUUUAAAUCCAUUCCCCUAUGCUUUCCACAGCAUAUAGAAGUUCCCAGCUUAGGGGUCAAAUCAGAGCUAAAGCUGCCAGCCCACACCACAGCCAUAGCAGAACGGGACCCAAACCACAUCUGCGACCUAUACCAUAGCUCACGGCAAACGCUGGAUCCUUAACCCACUGAGCGAGGCCAGGGAUAGAACUCGCAUCCUCAUGGAUCCUAGUUGAGUUCAUUUCUGCUGAACCAUGAAGGGAACACCUAGAAAUUCUUUAAAAAGGUAGGGUAAUUGGUUUUUAGAAGCCAACAAUUGGACCUUCAAAUCCAUCUCACAGCAAUCCAUCUAAGCAUUUUUAGGCCAGGCAUUACUUAUGAGAUGCAACUUCCCAAAUUAUCCAAAACAACUAUUAAACGGAAAUAUAUGUAGCUAGAAAAUAGGAAAACUUCUAAUGGCUCUCCGCAAGAUAGAUUGGAUGCCUCCUUCUUCAUGCUCUUUUCCUUUUUACAAUCUCUAGAGUCAAUGCUGAAGUCAUGGCUGAAAAGUUUGAAUGCUAAUGAGAAUAACCAUUUUACACCAAAUAUUCCAAACCAGCCUGCCAUCUGGCAAACAACUGGGAAGGCUUUAUGCCACUUCUCUUUGCAGAACAGCAACAAUCUCUCACCACCCAUCAGUCUCCAAAUAUCUCAUCACCUGCCACUGGCGAUUCCGGCCAUCAGCAGUCAGUGACUCCAUGAUACCACUUCUGCCUGCUGGGAGUGCAACACUUUGAGCUGUCCUGUUGCUGAGAUAGGGGAUAUGCUGACUAGCAUGACUUUCUAGAGGUACUGUCCACACAGUGACAGUACAGAUAAGAAACCAAACUGCAUGGACUGAAGAAGAACAAGAGGUCAUAAUGAGGAUCACCUUUACUACAGGGGCUUAAAAACAUGUUGCCCUUCAUGAGAAGAACACAUUCAAUGUAUUAAAAAAUAUGCAUAUAAAAAAGAUAAUAACCCUAUCUACUGGGUCAAGUAAAGAAGAGCAAGCAAAACCAAGAACUUUCAGAUGAUGCAUUUUGAAUGUAGUCAAAUCUGUUUUGUACUAGGGAAUAUUAAGCAAAUGUAGGUAAAAAUCAAAUUGCUAUCCAGAUUUUUCCUCCAGGAAGGAAUAGUCGAUAAAAAAUUGAGUUUUAAAUAUCAUAACACAUUUGUCAAUGAGAAAAAUCUAAGGCAUGCCUUUUAGGUGGUAGUCUUGACAUGCAUUUUUCCUCCUCAUUCCUGGAAUUAUUUAAGUCCCCUAAUUCAUGGAUAGACAACCUAGGAGUGAAUAGUGGCAUGAUGGUGAGAUUACAUGUGUCUAUUAUAGAGCUUUUCUCCUUCGUUCAUCUUUCUUAAAUAGCAAUGUCCAUUACCCAGCUAGCUCUAAAAUUCACGGCCUAAUUGUUCCUUCAGUGUAGUGAAAAAUGAUUAAAGAUUUAUCCUCAUAGCUUUUUAAAAAUUUAAUCUACUAAAAUUUAUGUUUGAAUAAUAUAAAAAUUAUGUUACCAUAGUGGGAAAUAUUUCAAAUAAAAUUAGACAUGGCAUAAAUGUUUAAAUUUAAUAUUUAUCAUAAAAGUACAAGUGACAAGCAGCAACGCCUUAUUUAUAACUCAGCUCUUAUUUUACUUGGAAAAAAAAUUGAUGAUUAUAUAGCAAAUCUCAUAAGAAGGUCCCUUCCAAUUCAAAAAGGUGAAAUAAUCUGAACUUUAUCAUUAAAUUUUAAAAUUAGCUUUUUACAGGUAAAGAUUAACCACAAAUAUCAACAAAUGACCAAAAAUCAAUUUUUUAUUGCAUGAAAAUUUGUUAUAUGAAUGUGUUAAAGUGCAAACAUCUUUCUUUGAUAUAUAUUUAGAGCACAAACAAAUAGAUGACUUAUGUAUAAGCAUAUGAUAUAUAUGCAUUACAUGGUUGGAAAUGUUUUCUGAUUUUUCUCAAAUUGAAUUAGCCAUGCAAGCAUCAAACCUAAACUUUAAUCUCACAUCCAUGUCAGUGACUCCGUGCACAUGCAAGGACACAUACCAAUCCAGCCCAGACCUCCUGAACUAAGCAUGAAAACUUGCUGUGGCCAGUAUGUGUGUGUAAAUCUGUGCCUGCAUGCAUGUAUGUGUUUGUGUGUGUGCAUAUGCAUGUAUGUGUGUUUAUUACUACUUUUUUUUUUGGCCCCUCUUCUGUUCCUGCCCAGUCAUUAUCCUACAAGAUAGGAAGGUUGAGAGGGAAAUGGCACAUCCUGCCUCACUGGUGCAUUUGUAAUCCAGGAUCACUGCUCUCUGGGGUGUCAGCUCCAAAUAUUGGCUGUAUAUCCCCUCAGGGUAACUUUGAAGGCUCAUUAGCAACUUCCCCACUAAAUACUGUCAUCCUACAAUUCUUGAAGUAGGCAAGGCCCCUAGCAGCCACCUCUUCCAGCUCAUCUUUUACUCUGCAGGUACACCACAGUGUAGCCCCUUACCUGGAUUGCUUGGUCCUGCCCAGCAUUGUUCUUGCGCUGGUUCAUUAGAAAAAGCUCACCCCUGACCACUUCCACACAUUCCUGUUACCCUACAUUCUGCUGGAAUUGAAAAUUCUGUUCAAGUGUUACUUGAAAAAGCAGGCAUUAGAGUUCCUGGUGUGGCUCAUUGGGUUAAGAACCUGACAUAGUGUCUGUAAUUAUGCAGGUUUGAAGUCCGGGCUUCAUUCAAUGAUUUAAGGAUCCAGCGUUGCUGCAAGCUGCAGCAUAGGUCACAGAUGCGGCUCAGAUGCUGCAUUGCUGUGGCUGUGAUAUAGGCUUCAGCUGCAGCUCUGAUUUGAUCUCUGACCUGGAAACUUCCAUAUGCCAUGGGUGUGGCCAUAAAAAGGAAAAAAAAAAAAAAAAAGGAAGAAAAGAAAAAGUAGGCAUUAGUCUCUGUGAAAUGCCUAGGGUCAUUUCUCCAAAUCACCCCCAGGUUUCCGUGGUGACUCACAGGGACCCCUGCUCAGUUCCCCAAAGCAUCCUCUCACAAGCACCCAUAUCUUUUUUCCUACUUUCUGUUAGGCAGAUAUUUAUGCUUUUUUUUUUUUUUUAAUUCCUUAUGUCCUUUCAGGGCCACUUCCAUGGAAUAUGGAGGUUCCCAGGCUAGGGGUCUAAUCGGAGCUACAGCUGCCAGCCUACACUACAGCCACAGCAAUGCCAGAUCCGAUCCACAUCUGCAACCUACACCACAGCUCAUGGCAAAGCCGGAUCCUUAGUCCACUGAUGGAGGCCAGGGAUGGAACCCGCAACCUCAUGGUUCCUAGUCGGAUUUGUUUCUGCUACACCACGACAGACACUCCAGAUAUUUAUUCUUAAGAAAAUUGUAUUUGCACACUUAACAAAUCUAACAUAUUCUAAUGCAUCUGUAUAGAACAUAUACCAACUUAUCAGCAAUAUCAGCAAUGUUUGGUUUUCCUGAGAAUGGAGAUAAUAGAUAAAGUCCAUUUUAACCCCACAUUAAAUAGAAGGAAAGAUAAAUAUAGCAAUUCACACAAACACACUGUAUGCAGAGCACAUACACAGACACAUAGAUACAUACACACUCCAUCUAAACACUAUGUCGACUAAAGAUAUUUUUGUACUAAUGAUUUGAUGAACAUUGUACAUUAUUUAUGUCACAUAAUUUUAAUUGCAAACUUUGAUUUACCUA